rnacentral:rRNA from 1 species
GACGUAGGGGGCAAGCGUUGUCCGGAGUUACUGGGCGUAAAGCGCACGCAGGCGGUCUCUUAAGUUUGGAGUGACAGUUGGUGGCUUAACUGCCAAAGUGCUUCGAAAACUGAGAGACUUGAGGGCUUCAGAGGGACACGGAAUUCCGGGUGGAGUGGUGAAAUGCGUAGAGAUCGGGAGGAACACCAGUGGCGAAGGCGGCCGGCUGGGGGUGACCUGACGCUGAGGCGCGAAAGCGUGGGGAGCGAACAGG